rnacentral:rRNA from 1 species
UCGCCUGUUUUUCAAAAACAUCGCUGGGAAAAUCUUCCAGUCGAAUCUGCCCGGUGAAAAUUUAACGGCCGCAGUAUCUUAACUGUGCUAAGGUAGCGUAAUCAUUAGCUUUUUAAUUGAAAGCUCGUAUGAACGAUCCGACGAAAAUCUACCUGUCUUAAGACCGCUAAAAACUUCCUACGAGAGUUAAAAAUCUCUCAUUUUUCAAGAGGACGACAAGACCCUGCAAAACUUCACCCGCUACGGACCGGACCCAGACACCCCCAUCCCUUACCCGGGUUUUGCUGGGGCGGUAAUAGAUUCUUCUAACACCUAUCGCUAAAACAUUAUUUAUGAUUUUCACGAACUUUUUAAACUUAGACCAAGUUACUUCAGGGAUAACAGCGCAAUUAACCCUUAGAGUUCUUAUCGACGGGUUCGUUUACGACCUCGAUGUUGAAUUGAAUUCCCUCCUUCAGAGCAAAAACUAAGGAAGGAAGUCUGUUCGACUUUUAAAUUUUCACAUGAUCUGAGUUCCAAACCGGA